rnacentral:sRNA from 1 species
GUAAAUACCUUUCAACUCAACCCGAGGCUUUGAUGCUGGAGAAUGUCAUCAUCUGAUAAUCAGUUACCCGACCUUUUCAGGCCGGACUGAUUAUCAAUGCGCCGAAAUCGAAUGCGGACACCGCAGUGUGUUUGCACGUUUUGCCUA